rnacentral:rRNA from 1 species
UACGGGGGAUGCAGGCGUUAUCCGGAUUUAUUGGGUUUAAAGGGUGCGUAGGCUGUGAGGUAAGUCAGCGGUGAAAUGCCCCCGCUCAACGGGGUGAAGUGCCAUUGAUACUGCCUUGCUGGAAUGCGGAUGCCGUGGGAGGAAUGUGUGGUGUAGCGGUGAAAUGCAUAGAUAUCACACAGAACACCGAUUGCGAAGGCAUCUCACGAAUCCGCGAUUGACGCUGAUGCACGAAAGCGUGGGUAUCAAACAGG